rnacentral:rRNA from 1 species
GUCCACGCCGUAAACGAUGGAUACUAGCUGUUGGGGGGCAACUUCAGUGGCUAAGCGAAAGUGAUAAGUAUCCCACCUGGGGAGUACGUUCGCAAGAAUGAAACUCAAAGGAAUUGACGGGGGCCCGCACAAGCGGUGGAGCAUGUGGUUUAAUUCGAUGAUACGCGAGGAACCUUACCAAGGCUUAAAUGUAGUUUGACCGUAUUUGGAAACAGAUCUUUCGCAAGACAAAUUACAAGGUGCUGCAUGGUUGUCGU